GAUGAACGCUAGCGGCGGGCUUAAUACAUGCAAGUCAAGGGGUAGCAAUACACCGGCGUACGGGUGCGUAACGCGUAUGGAACCUGCCCUUAUCUGGGGGAUAACUCGGGGAAACUCGAGCUAAUACCGCAUAAGAUAGUAGAAUGGCAUCAUUCAGCUAUUAAAGAUUUAUCGGAUAAGGAUGGCCAUGCGUAAGAUUAGAUAGUUGGUGGGGUAACGGCUCACCAAGUCUACGAUCUUUAGGGGCUCUGAGAGGAGAAUCCCCCACACUGGCACUGAGAUACGGGCCAGACUCCUACGGGAGGCAGCAGUAGGGAAUAUUGGGCAAUGGGCGGAAGCCUGACCCAGCCACGCCGCGUGCAGGAAGAAGGCCCUCUGGGUUGUAAACUGCUUUUGAUUGGGAAGAAAGCAUCUCAUGCGUGGGAUUUUGACGGUACCAAUCGAAUAAGCCACGGCUAACUACGUGCCAGCAGCCGCAGUAAUAC
rnacentral:rRNA from 1 species